GCGAGGAAUUUUCCGCAAUGGGCGAAAGCCUGACGGAGCAAUGCCGCGUGAAGGAUGAAGGCCUAUGGGUUGUAAACUUCUUUUCUCAGAAAAGAAUUAUGACGGUAUCUGAGGAAUAAGCAUCGGCUAACUCUGUGCCAGCAGCCGCGGUAAGACAGAGGAUGCAAGCGUUAUCCGGAAUGAUUGGGCGUAAAGCGUCUGUAGGUUGUUUAAAAAGUAUUCUGUCAAAGAUUAGGGCUUAACCCUAGAUAGGCAGAAUAAACUUUUAAGCUAGAGUUUGGUAGAGGCAGAGGGAAUUCCCGGUGGAGCGGUGAAAUGCGUAGAUAUCGGGAGGAACACCAAAGGCGAAGGCACUCUGCUGGGCCAAUACUAACACUGAGAGACGAAAGCGAGGGGAGCAAAUGGGAUUAGAUACCCGGGUAGUCC
rnacentral:rRNA from 1 species